GGAGGAAAGGCUGUAAGCUCAGUGGUAGAGCAACUGCUUUGCAUGCAGAAGGUACCAGGUUCAAUUCCUGGUUUCUUCCA